ensembl:lncRNA
UGGCUGCUCUACCAGGUGUAACAAUAAAGUUUAACAUCCAGGUGAGACCUGAGUCUGGGAACCACUCCUGGUGGGCGGAGCGGGUUUUUGCCCCUUUCAUAAGCUCAGGUGUGGGCAAUUAGCUGUUCUCUAACAAACCUGAAACUGUGAGUGCUUGGUCCAAGCUGGGCAAGUUGGUGUUUUUAAUUCCUUUCUAUGAAAGCUUGAUGCGGGUCCCACUGAACUUCUGUUAGAAUGGUGGGAAACACUGCGUUCCUGUGAGAGUAGUGGACUUCACCGCCACUGACCCACAUUUAUUAGGGUGUGACGCAAACUUGUGGACAGGUAACGAAACCAAUACAGUUGAGGGAUAUGCAUGCUGUGUUUUACUGUCCAGCGUACCGAGCUGCUGCUUUGCCAAGUGGAUUUCUGGCUGCGGGUAAAAGGACCGGACACAUCAGUGUGUUUUAAUUUGUGUUAAACUAGUGUAAUUCGACAGACUGUGACUGCUGCAGCUGUCGGUUUUGUUUCUUGUUUUAUUUUUCUGUAUCAGUAGGCACCGCAGAUAUUGAUGGUUUUCAGUGUGUCAUCAUAUUUUUUUUAAUAUUUUUUUUAAUAUGUGCAUUUAUAUCACUGCAGACGGUGAAUGCGCUGUGUGGAAAACAAAUCCUUUUUUUGUACUGCUGCUUUUGCAGCACUGUGGUGGGCCCGAGUGAAGACUACACUGAAGGUUUGCUCUCUUUUUCUAUCGGGUCGUUAAGUCUGACGUCACUAGCCGUGUCUGGGCCUAAACUCCGCUGCAGGUCCAUAUAUCAAACGAUCACUAUGGCAUUACUGAGAGUUGAAAAACUGUCUAAAGUCUUUCAUCUUUAAUAAAAUGAUCAGCGUUCUGCUCUACCAGGUGUAACAAUUGAGUUUAACAUCCAGGCAUCCAUGAAAACAGAAUUUAUGACAUUUAACGGAGUUAGAAGUUAGCAGGAAGUUAGCUCGCUAGCUUCAAUCUAAAUACAAUAUAGCAUGUCCUGACUGCAGGGUUUUGGAGACAAAUUCAA